rnacentral:tmRNA from 1 species
CCCCUUGAUCGCCGCUGCGCGGCGCCCUACAUUCCGCGUGCUCCCUCGGGGGCUAUGGACAUAAACGCGCAUGUAAUAACCGGAUCGGACCCGGGGGCGGUACCCGGCGGCUCCACCAGAACCCUCGUUGGGGGCUUUGGGGCCGAAACAGGAUCGACGAACGACUAAAGAUGUAGCUUUGUCCCGGUGAGCCACCACCGUUAUCGGUGCACAUUGCAUAGUUGCCAACGACAACCAUGCUCCGGUGCGUGCUCUGGCUGCGUAAGCAGUCCGACACUACCGAACCCUAAGCCCUGAGGGUUAGCCCCUUCAGGCGGGGCCCGCAGGAGCCUGGCAACAGAAUCCUGCACC